rnacentral:rRNA from 2 species
UUUGGUGGCGAUGCGCUUAGGGGAAACACCCGUUCCCAUCCCGAACACGAUGGUUAAGACCUAAGCGGCCGAAAAUACUAUACUGGUAACGGUAUGGGAAGAUAGGUGGCUGCCAAAU